rnacentral:lncRNA from 1 species
CUUGGUGGUCUGAGUCAGCAGCUGCCAGCCAGCCUGACAGUGGGAGCCUGGGAGGGCAGUCUGCCUCCAGCCUGGGAUGCAGGCACCCAUUCAGGCAGUCUUCCAUCCUGUACUGCUUUUUAGGUCUUAGUGCUUUCACCAGCGUUUCCUGUCCCCUCACUGCGGCCUCCAGUGUCUGGAUGCACUCAGCUACAUCUUUUUUAUGGCCUUUCAUCUGCAGGGUAGAGCAAUGCCCCACUCAUUCUGGCCCACUUGUGCUCUUGACAUUUAAGCGUGUGAGUGAUGAGGCAAGUGAAGCACUGCAUCAGGGUGAGCUCUGACUGAACUGUGGCAGUGCAGGUCUGACUCAUAACUGCAGGGAAGAUGGUCCUUACCACCUGGAGCUCUUCCCAGCACGAUUCCUCAUAUGGAUAUAAAAAGAACCCCAGCUGCUUUUUCCCACCCUCUGUUACUCUUGAUACCUACAGUAGUGUCCUGUUGGCAUCAGCUGCAGCUUGCUUGAUGUACUGUUUACACCCAGGAACUGCAGACUGUCAGACAAGUAGAGGGAAAAGUAUUGGCCAGCUAUUUGUUCAGGAUUGUAAGAUAGUUGGAUUGUUGGAAUGGCAGUGAACAGAUGUCUCAGCAAAUAACUGAGCGUUCCGGCCACGGGAGCAGGAGGUGUCCCGCGGGUGGCUGUCUGCUCGGGGAGCCAGCAGCGAUCCGGCGGCUGACCACGAGAGGUCAGCGCCGGCUUUGCUGCCAGCGCAGCGCCGAGCGGCAGCGGCACCUCGCCCGUCCGCAGAGCAAGGGACCGAAUCGAGCCUCGCCGUGCUGCGGGAGCACCGGGAGCUGACACUGGCCUUGCACCAGGGCUGUCAGCAAGGACGGCAGAAACCACUCACUCACCUCUGAGUGCUGUUGCCAUGUCAUUUUCACCGCCGUCCACCGUCUCCCCCUUGACCUACAGGGUGAUAUGAAGCACUCGAGAGCUGAUCCACCAUAGGUCUGUGCCCAGCAGUUAAAUGUGUUAAAAGCAUGGAAGGAGAAAGACCAAGAAAGCAAGCAGUGGACACCGACCUUCACUAAAGUUCAGUUUGCUUAUUAGUGCCAAAGGUAUCACAUCUGCAGAGCUGAUGCCUUCAAACCAGGGACGAGACCUUGGGCUUGCACAGCUUUCCUUUCUACAACUCCUCUUCUGCGUCAGAGGCCCGGUGUUGAUUCUGUGGUUUGAAAUAAGCUGGAUCAAGUAUCUAGUAAUAAAUGCUUCACGGCCUUCA